UCUUCCUUUGAACCCACAAUUUCCUCUGUUUCUGAAGAUUUAUAAGCUCCACCACCGUGCUAUGCGUUGUUUUCAGACAAUUCCAGAGUUUGAUCAGAGCAUUUCUGAUGAGGAAGAAUCGGAAAAAAAAUGAUUUUCCCAAUUGCACUGCCAUUGACGGUUCCACCAAGAAAAAGGUUCUAAUGCGUAUGCCUGCAGCUUGGCGGAUGAAGUGAGCUCUAACGAAGAGGUAGUAUGCAUUCAGAUAUAUAGAUAUCUUAUUUUUGGUGUUUUUGUGCUAAUGCAAGGAGUAAUGUGCUUGUUUAGCGGAAUGGAUCUCCUAGGUUCUUGAAUUUUCAGUGGUGGGCAGCAAGCGACGUGGAGAUGAGGCCAUGAACCGCGACAGAGUGAUGGAGAUAGGGGUUUGUUGUUUGGGU